UACGAGGGGGCAAGCGUUGUUCGGAAUUAUUGGGCGUAAAGAGCUCGUAGGCGGUUUGUCACGUCGGCUGUGAAAACCCGAGGCUCAACCUCGGGCCUGCAGUCGAUACGGGCAGACUAGAGUGCUGUAGGGGAGACUGGAAUUCCUGGUGUAGCGGUGAAAUGCGCAGAUAUCAGGAGGAACACCGGUGGCGAAGGCGGGUCUCUGGGCAGUAACUGACGUGAGGAGCGAAAGCGUGGGGGAGCAAACAGG
rnacentral:rRNA from 1 species